GACGAACGCUGGCGGCGUGCUUAACACAUGCAAGUCGAACGGAAAGGCCCUGCUAUUGUGGGGUGCGCGAGUGGCGAACGGGUGAGUAACACGUGAGUAACCUGCCCUGGACUUUGGGAUAACUUCAGGAAACUGGGGCUAAUACCGGAUAGGAGCACCUGCUGCAUGGUGGGUGAUGGAAAGUGUCGGCGGUUGGGGAUGGACUCGCGGCUUAUCAGAUUGUUGGUGGGGUAGUGGCUUACCAAGGCUUUGACCGGUAGACGGCCUGAGAGGGUGACCGGCCCCAUUGGGACGGAGCUGCGGCCCAGACUCCUCCGGGAGGGAGGAGUGCGGAAUAGUGCACUAUGGGCGGAAGCCUGAUGCAGCAACGCCGCGUGGGGGAUAACGGCCUUCGGGUUGUAACCCGCUUUCGCCUGUGACGAAGCGUGAGUGACGGUAAUGGGUAAAGAAGCACCGGCUAACUACGUG
rnacentral:rRNA from 1 species